GGGCGGUUAGUUCAGUGGUUGGAACGCUUGCUUGACAUGCAAGAGGUCGUAGGUUCGAUUCCUACACCGCCCA
rnacentral:tRNA from 2 species